rnacentral:rRNA from 1 species
UACGGAGGGUGCGAGCGUUGUCCGGAAUCAUUGGGCGUAAAGGGCGCGUAGGUGGCCACUUCAAGCGUGCGGUGAAAGUCGGGGGCUCGACCCCUGAUCGGUCCGUGCGAACUGGGGGGCUGGAGCACUGUAGAGGCAGGCGGAAUUCCGGGUGUGAGCGGUGGGAAUGCGUAGAUAUGCGGAGGAACACCGAUGGCGAAGGCAAUCCCCUGGACCUCGUACUGACGCUCAUGGCACGAAA